rnacentral:lncRNA from 1 species
UUUUCUCUUGAUUUGAUUCAUAAACCCUAGCUCUUAGAUUUUUUCCGAUCACCGAUAAUGGCGGACGCAGAAACCUUUGCUUUCCAAGCUGAGAUCAACCAGUUGCUCUCCCUCAUCAUCAAUACCUUUUACUCUAACAAGGAGAUCUUCCUUCGUGAACUCAUCAGUAACUCUUCUGAUGUACGAUCUCUAUCUCCCUCUCUCUCUAUGUCUUAUUAUAUAGUUGUUUGAUUGAUUUGGCUCAUCGAUCUGUAGAUUUAGGUUUGAUUAGGGUUUAGCGUUCUUUCCGAUUUGAGAAUUUUGGUUGUUAAUCGAACCGGUAUCGAUCUGAAACUUUUUGUGUGCAAAUCUGUUGAUUAGGUUAAGUGUUGAUACCAAGGAUUAAGCAGUCUCUUAUUAGAUUACCAAGUUUUGGAUUGCUUAUAGUUUAUUUGUAUAUAUGUUCUGUGUAUUGGUUAUUUACGAUUUUGAAUUUUAUUCUGGUGAAAUAGGCUUUGGACAAGAUUAGGUUCGAGUCCUUAACAGACAAGAGCAAGCUCGAUGGUCAGCCUGAGCUCUUCAUUCACAUCAUUCCCGACAAGACUAACAACACCUUGACCAUUAUCGAUAGUGGGAUUGGGAUGACUAAGGCUGGUACGUAAUUGAUUUCAGUUAAAGCAAUUUGUAUUGGUUUUGUUGAUUAUUUUUGCAUCUAUGUGUUUGGUGUGUGUUGGCUAAUAAUACGUUUUUGUUGUAUUGUUCAGAUUUGGUCAACAACCUUGGAACUAUUGCGAGAUCUGGUACCAAGGAAUUCAUGGAGGCAUUGGCUGCUGGAGCUGAUGUUAGCAUGAUUGGUCACUUUGGUGUUGGUUCUACUCUGCUUACUUGGUUGCUGACAAGGUUGUUGUUACUACCAAGCACAAUGACGAUGAGCAGUAUGUGUGGGAGUCUCAGGCCGGUGGGUCUUUCACUGUGACCAGAGACACCUCUGGGGAGGCUCUUGGUAGAGGAACCAAAAUGGUCCUUUACCUCAAGGAAGACCAGUUGGAGUACCUUGAGGAGCGAAGGCUUAAGGAUUUGGUUAAGAAGCACUCUGAGUUCAUCAGCUACCCAAUCUCUCUCUGGAUUGAGAAGACCAUUGAGAAGGAGAUCUCUGAUGAUGAAGAGGAGGAAGAAAAGAAGGAUGAGGAAGGCAAGGUUGAGGAAGU